CGUUCUGCAAUCGUUCGUUCAGGUUGAUGGGCUUUUCCGCACCGGACUGUCAAUCACAUAGUAAUAACCAGAGAGCGUCGUAACUCUAUGGUUUUGGCUCCAAAUCGACAACAUGGCCGCGCCCGCCAUUGAGCUUCAAAACGUGUUUUAGAGACCCACGGAGAGUCAAUGGGUGACGUCACAGUAGCUUUGUCCAUAUUUUUUACAGUCUCUGGUUUCAUCACGCCAUGCAGUGCUUCAAGUUUUCUCAAUAAAUACUUUUAAAUAUGCAGACAUUUUACCGGUUAAGCAGUUAGCUCCAACACGAUUAACGUUAGCAGGAAAGCUAUGGAAUAACGAUAGAGGAAUGCAUACGGUCCAGCAUUUUACACGACACACAAUAAUGUCACGUCAUUACUCCAGGGUCCUCAAGUCCACGGGGUGUCGCUAUUUAGGUCGGAACGAAUGUCUGAAAUGAAGCGGGCCACAAUUGAACGACGCACCUCCGAUAUUUCCGGCCAGUUCAGCGCGUCAGUGUUGUCAAAUCAAGAGCGGAGCAGGAGCCUGUCAAUUCAGCUAGACCCCUCAUUGUUAUCUAAUACUGCGAGCUCUUUAGAGUAUUCUGCACAAAAAAUGGUUCUGCUGACAAUGAUUGCUCGGUUGGCGGACGGGCUGCCGCUCGCCGCGUCAAUGCAAGAAGACGAACAGUGUUAGCCAGGGAUGUCCUGGAUGGGAUAGAGAAGCAGAUUCCCUCCUUCCUGGGGUUGAAGUUCAGUGGUAGUGACCUGCUGGACUUUGGCCAGUGUGUCAGUUACUGUCCGUCGGACUGCUCAGUCCUUUAUGACGUGGAUGAGGUAAAAAAAAAAAA